rnacentral:lncRNA from 1 species
UUUUGACUUGUUACUUGGUAGGCGCAUCUUUUGUUAACGUUUUUUUAAUUGAGGGGCAUGCCCCCAAUUUCAUUUCAUUGCAUGAAAGGAAACCAAUAAACAAAGUGAGUAGUCUUAGAUUCCAUCCAGCCCAGAUGUCCUACCGUGACAUCCAGGCAUCAACAACUAGACAGCCAAGAGAAUAAAGCUUGAAACUAAAAAAAAGGAACUCCACACUUAUCAGAAUGCACACACAGGUGAGAGGUAACCACACAGGGCUCCUCUCCCCGCUCAUCGCCACAGACUCUCCAGGGAGGACAAAAGUUCAGCUAACAGUACAGGCAGAAUUACUUCCCAACGCCAAGACGUUUCACCAUGGGCGCCCAUCAUAUCCUCUGCUCUUGUUGAAGAACCCGUUCGCAACAUCAACCAGCAGUGCUGUGACGGCCUGCAACAUCCGUUGCCCUUCUUUUCUCUGUAGACCAGUGCAGUAGGACAUCCAAUAAGAGAUUUGAAAGAACAACAUACUAGGAUCAUGCGGGUAAACAUGAUGAAACGUAGCAGCAUUCCUGGCUUUCCACAAAGUCCAAAACACCGCAGAAACACCCGCUGCUAUUGUUUGUCUAAUAUUCUUAGGAAUUUUUUCUACCCAGGCAGUAAACUCUUCUAUCUUGCAUGGAAUGUCAUGAAUUCCAGUUACAUUCCUAACCACACCCCACACAAACUUAGCCACCACACAUGCACAGAAAAGAAGUUCAACCGUUUCUGGGUAAUCACAGAAGCUAUAGUUUUUAUCCUUUCCUUUCCAGUUUCUUUUCGCCAAAUUAUCUCUAGUUAGAACACUAUUCUUAAACAUCAACCACAGGAAAACUUUAACUUUCAGCGGUAUCCUCGCCUGCCACAGUUUCCUAUGAGGCCAGGCAGCCUGAUCUGUUUUUAAAGCAAGGUACAAAGAUCUAACAGUGAAUCUACCUGAUUUAGUUAGUAGCCAGCUACAUCUAUCCUCUUGAUCGUUUAAAACUACUUUACUGCAUAGAUUUUUUAGUUCAUACCACAUAUCAGCUGUGUCUCCCCACAAAACUCUUCUAAAUCUAAUCAAACUCAUAUUAUCAGAUAAAGCUUUGGCGAAAGUAAAAUCUAAACUAAAGGUCAGCAGAUAAAGCCUAGGGAAUUGCACACUAAGAGGUUUGUCUCCCAGCCAUACAUCACUCCAAAACAUAGUCCUUUCCCCAUUACCCACCAUCUUCCUACAAUAUUGCAGGAAAAUUGGUUUAACCUUCAUUAGGCCCUGCCAGAAAUGAGAAUGACCAGGUUUUUUUUACUAUCUCUAAGGGUACAUCUACUUGAGUAUUUCUUUCUCACUAAAUCUUGCCACACACCACUACAAUUUUCAAGUUUCCAGAUCCAUUUGCACAGUAAGCAGAUGUUCAUAAUAUCAAGAUCUAAGACGCCUAAACCCCCCAUCUCUUUAGGUCUGCAAACAUCCUCCCAUUUCACUAGAUGGUACUUUUUAACCCCUCCUCCUCUUGCCAUAGCAUUCUUUUAAUAAAAAAGUUCAUUUUCUUACUAGGGCCUUUGGGUAGCUCAAACAGAGAAAUCAUAUACAAAGGAAUAUUGCUUAAACUAGAGGUAAUUAAAAUCAAUCUCCCCCCAUAAGAUCUGUUCCUCCCUUUGCAUACACUUAGCUUCUUCUCCAUUUUCUCCUCAGCUCAAUUCCAGUUACAUAAUCUAACUGCAUUAAUAGGGACACCUGAAUAUCUAAAAGGAAGUUUUCCUACAACACAAGUAAAUAUUGUAGAGUAAUUUUCCUGUUUGUCCUUUGCUUCACCAAAACAAAAAACCUCACUCUUGUGAAAAUUAACUUUAAGGCCAGACAAUUGCUCUUUUUUUUGUGGGUAAUUGUUCAAAUAAACAAAGAACUGAUUUCAAGUUUCUAGCACUUUCCAGAUUGUGUCUAAACAUGAAAAUGGUGUCAUUAGCGUAUUGUAACAUAUUAAUGCCAUCUGGAAUUAAAUCCUGUGCUAACCCUUCGAUAAGGUCCAUAUUUUGUGCCUUAGCUAAAAACAAAUUAAGUAUAUCGAUGGCAAUAUUAAAAAGAAUGGGGGGAGAAAGGAUCUCCCUGUCUCAGUCCUUUUUUCGUCUAAAAAAGGGCCAAUUUGAUCAUUGACCAUGAUUGCUACUUUACCCCUCUCUACCGUCUGCUUGACACAACCAAUAAAUCUAGAUGAAAAGCCUUUUUUCUCCAUGACAAAAUACAAAAACUCCCAGUUAAUCUUGUCAUAAGCCUUCUCAAAAUCUACUUUAAACAAAACAUCACUCUUUUUUCCUAUGAACUUCAUGCAGAACUUCAUGCAACACAAUAACCCCAUCUAGUACCUAAUAAAAGCUGUUUGCACAGGAGCUACUAUCUUAUCAGCUACAGUAAUGGCUCUAUUAUUUAGAACUUCUGAAAAAUCUUGAAAAUCACAUUCAACAAACAGAUUGGUCUAUAUUGUUGUAAAGUUUGAGCAUCAGCAAUUUUGGAAUUAACGCAAGGACACCAUAAUUAAAUCUAGCUAAAUCUAACUUUCCUUCAUAAAAAUCACUGAAAAGCUCCAAAAUGUCCACUCCAAUUAUGUGCCAGCACUUGUGAUAAAAUUCUAUAGGAAAUCUGUCAGGUCCAGGUGCUUUGUUAGAUUUCAUAUCAAAAACAACAAUCUUAAUCUCUAAAGUAAACUUCCUAUCCAAAUUUUUUCUAUCGGCAUCACUCAAAACCACAGGUAAAUUAAUAUCAAGGGAAAUAUUAUUCAUACCUACAGCAGGACCAAAUAGGUUUUUGUAAAAUGAAGUGACAAAAGGCAAUAAAUCUUUGUCCCCCUGGAUCACAUCAUUAGGAGCAGUUUUAAUAGAGGUAAUUCUGUUUUUCCGUUUUCUACUACUAGCCUUAGAUAUAAAAUAAGAAGUUAAAGCGUCACCCUCUAAUAGUUCGUUCUCUUUCGAUCUCUGUAACCACAUUAUCUCCUCCUCUUUAUUAAUCUUUGAAAGUUCCUCCUCUAACUUUUUCCUUAACAUGUUUUUUUGAGCAAAAGAGGGUUUCCCCUCCGAUUUCCAUUAUAGAAACCAGGCCGAAGCCACGAGCAGUCUAGAAGUCUUACAAUAAGAAGCGGAACAGAGAGUAAAAGCGAAACCCGCGCAAGGAGUGGCCAGGGACACAGCCCCCACCCCCCGGAUAGUCAGAUCAUUACAAGUUUCCAUCACAAAAGGCUAAACGGAGGAGAAGACAAGUCUAAAGCAAAAGCAGCAGCAAGCUCUUGAAAUGUCGCAGCUUCCCUAAUCCUUCAGCCGCGGAACCCCGAAGCGCCAUCCUUGCGAAGCUUUGAAGAUCUCACUUGCCACCUGCUCGAUGAGUCUUGCCCCCAACGUCAGCGUUCUUUCCCCUGGGCCCUUUUUCUGCAAAAUAGCCCAAUCAGUAAUCCAGCAGCAUAUUCGUUUAACGAUCCCAAUCGGGUCGUUUACUUUUUCUUAUCAAACACAAUGUCAUUGCAAUUCCAAAUCGCCCAAAGCAGAGCAGAAGUGCCAAUCAACACCAAUUUUUUACUCUCUUUGUUAAAAUUGUUUAGCCACCCCCAAAACAGUCGUCAAUGUUUAUGGGAGUUUUCUAAAAGUCAAAUGAACAUCUCACCAGAUUCCAAAUGAUUCUAGCAACCGAAUAGGAGAAGAAAAGAUGAUCAAUGUUUUCCUCCUGUCCACAAAACACACAAUGUUUGUCCCCUUUCCAUCCUCUUUUCAAUAGGGUGUCUCUAGUAAGGAUACUUUUUUUGCUUAGCAACCAAAGAAAGAACUUGAUUUUUGCAGGUACCUUGACUUUCCACAGGAAUUUGUGUGGAAAACCCAUGUCAGUACGAACUAGGUGUCGAUAUAAGGAUUUUACAGUGAAUAUUCUGUUAGCAUUGAGCAUCCACAUGGGCUUGUCUCUGCCCCCGUGCAUUAAUAUGUCCUCACAUCUUCUUUUAAGGCUAUCCCACAGCCCCCCAUAGCCUCCAUCUAUAUUUCUUCUGAAAGACAUAGCAUUCCACCCUUUUUCAAUCACCCCUCUGACGGUAAUUUCUCUGUCAUUGCUAAUUGCAUACAAUGAGGGGUAUGCCUCUUUUAGUGGUUUGUCAUCCACCCACUAAUCUUCCCAGAAUCUGGUAUUUCUCCCAUCCCCUAGUUUUUUUUUAUGCGAGGGAAAACUAAAUUCUUGAUACUUAUCAGGCUAGUCCAGAAUUGCGAGUCCCCCUGUCUUUUUUAAUGCCUGACAAGCAUUUGUUCUGGAUAUAUUUAGAUCUAAUGAUAUCUUGCCAAAGUCCCUCCUCAGCUUCUAGUUUCCAAAUCCAUUUAGCUAGCAAGGCAAUGUUAAAUUUCUCUAGUUGAUUAGCCCGAGACCUCCUUGUUGUUUAGGAAGGCAGCAUGUUUUCCAGUUAACUAAACGAUACUUUUUUUUAUCCUCUUCCGCUUGCCAUACCAGUCUCGCCCUGAAGAAAUCAACUUUUUUCCUGACUCCAACAGGGAGCAGAUAGAAAGACAUCAUGUAUAUAGGAAUAUUUGUUAGGCACGACUGUACUAAUGUGACUCUGCCAGCAAUAUUGAGCAAUCUGCCUUGCCAGCACGCACAUCUUUUCUCUAUUUUCUCAGUUACAUUCCUCCACAUCCCAUUACUGAUCCUUUUAUCAUGUACUGGUAGGCCUAGGUAUUUCAGUGGCAUCUCCCCAAACGCACACGUAAAAAUCUCUUAAUAUAUAUCUUUCUGCCUUAGCUUCUCCAAAGAGGUAUAUGCCACUUUUGUGAAAAUUAAUUGUGAGUCCUGACAUUUGUUCAAAAGCAGUCAGAAUAAAUUUGAGAUUUCUCGCUGACACCUCAUCAUCCUGGAUUAGGAAUAUGGUGUCAUCUGCAUAUUGCAGCAUGUUCACUCCAUUUUCAUGAUUGUAUGUGAGAACCCCUUUAAUAAAUCCCUUAUUUCUAGCUCUGUCCAUAAUAAUGGCCAGGGCGUCAAUAGCUAAAUCAAACAAUAGGGGGGAUAAUGAGUCCCCCUGGCGAAGCCCUUUAAAAGUUUUAAAAAACUUUCCAAUAUUGUCAUUUACCUUCACACCCACUUGUCCCCCCCUCAUGGUGUCCAUCACCCAGUCACACCACUUGCAGGAAAGUUUUUGAGUUUCAGCAUUUUAUGGACAAAAGGCCAUUUGAUUUUGUCAUAUGCAUUUUCAAAAUCUACCUUCAAUAUUAUAGCAUUUUGUUUUUUCAUUUUGAUUGAAUUUAUAGCUUCAUGUAGGAUCACCACUCCCUCCAUAAUGUAUCUGCCUUUCACAAAAGCAGUUUGAAUGGGGGAGAUGAUGGGGUUAACAACCUUACUAAGCCUGUUCAUCAGGACUUUAGUGAUGAUUUUGAAGCUGACAUUCAACAGGCAAAUGGGUCUGAAUUUCUGGAUCUGUUUGGCAUCUUGACCUUUGGGACCAAGGUAAUGAUCCCAUAAUUCAACCUAGCUAAAUCAACCACACCUCUGUGGAAAUCAUCCAUAAUGUUUUUUAUAUCAUUCUUGAUUAAAUCCCAGAAGUUCUGAUAGAAUUCAAUAGCAAAUCCAUCAGGGCCUGGGCUUUUGUUUUUUUUCCAUGGAGAACACCACUUCCCUAAUCUCUUCCAUGGAGAAGUCCUUAACCAAUUCAUCUUGUGUUUGAGGAGAGAUCUCUGCAGACCCUUGUAUGUUAAGAUUGAUAGUAGAGUUUUCAGCUUGAUCAAAAAGAUUUUUAUAGAAUGUAGUGAUAUACUCAAUCAGUUCUUUCUCUCCCUGAAUCACACCCUCAUCCUGUUCUAACCUGACAAUCCUGUUCUUCUCCUCCCAUUCACUUUGGCAUGAUAAUAUCUAGUAUUGGAAUCUCCUUUUAUUUCCUUAUCUUUGUAUCUCUGUAACCACUUGAUUUCUUCUAAUUUGAAGAUUUCUUUCAAUUCCCUUCUCAAUUAUUUCUGCAUAAUUCUUUCUUGGGCAUUAAUCCCUCUCAAUUCUGCAUUUUUAUCUAUCAUGUCCAGCAUAUUUAACAGUUCCUUCUUUCUUUUCCUAUACAUAGCAUUAGCAUUUAACCCACCCUUUGAUUUUUUGUCUAACGUUUCUGAGUAUUUUUUGCCAAGUGUCCAUACUAGAUCCAUUACACCUCACCUCCCAGUUUUUUUCCACAAAUUCCUUAAAUCCUUCCAUAUGCAUCCAUGCAUUUUCAAAUCUAAAAAUGGGAGGAGCAUUUCUCUGCUCACCAGAAUCCAACAGCAGUGGAGUGUGAUCUGAAAUCUCUCUCUCUAAUGUUGUGACCAUAGUCAUGGGGUAUUUAUCUUCCCAAUCUGGGCAUACCAAUACCCUAUCAAGUUUCUCAUAUGUAGGGUCUGGCAUAUUAUUUGCCCAAGUGAAUUGUCUCCCACUGAUUGGGAUGUCUCUUAAUCCAGCAUGUUCAAUAAUAGCAUUAAAAACAAAGCUGAAGUGAUCCACCCCAGGUUUAUUUUUCUCUGCACUGUUUCUAAUGAUAUUGAAAUCCCCCCAAUGACACAGGGGAGAGGGUUAUCUUGAUACAAUCUAGAUAAUUCAGCUAAAAAAGAUGCUUUCCCUUUUCUUUGAGCAUCACCAUAGACAGUCACCAAGUUCCAACUAAACUUAGCUUUUUUUAUCAAAAAGUAGUGUUCUGAUAAAAUAUGUGCCUUUUUCCACUUGUAUCAAGUCAAAAUUAUCAUUAUUAAUUCUUACCAAUAUUCCUCCAGAUUUGCCUCGAGGGGCAAUCCAUUCCCAGAGAAAAAAAAUUCCCCCCAGCAAGGUUGUGCAAUUCAUUUUUUGUAAAGUCACCCUUAAUGGUCUCCAAAAGGCCAACAAAAUCUAAUUUUUUUUCUAUGAUUGCCUCUCUGAUAAAGUUUUUCUUUGUGUCCUGUCUAAUCCCCCUCACAUUCCAAAAUAUUCCUUUCAUUGUUUCUUUUUCUUCUUUCUCCCUCCCCUAAAAGAUAUAGCAAGCUUCCCAGCACUAGCAGCUGAGGUGCCAAUCUUAAUUUUUCUUAUUACUAGAGAAUAUUUUCCUCAAGGUGUCAUAGUAAUCAAGAUCCAUUUCUGUAUCAGAGUGAUCAUCACCUGAGCAUAGUUCUUCUAGUUUAGCAUCUCCAAUAUCAAUUAGAUUUGGAGAACUUUCAUUUUUUUCUUUUUCCUCUUGAUGAUAUAUAUCUCUUCUACCCUGUUCCAUAUUGGAGAUCAGGUCUAGGUUUUGGCUGACCAGGUCAAUAGUACACCCCAGCUCCACCCCCACUUUCUCUGUCAUUUCAAACAAAGAGAUUUGAUCCUUAGUAAGGGUUGGGGACUUACCAUAGUUAUCCUUGUCAGCAGCUCUCUCCUUAGCCAGAUCUUCAAUCUUGGAGUCCUUUUUGUCUAGAUUUCUGUCACUUCUUCUGGUUGGUCCUUCUUUGUCUUUUUCUUUCUUCUCUUUAUCAGAGAUCCCCAGUUUUGAUCCCAGAGAUUCCACAGAAUCCUGGCUAGCAUUAUAAUCCACUGGUUCAGUGUAAUUGUCUUCUAUCAGAGGAUCUUGAAUAUUAUCUUUAUCAGAGUCAUUUUUCUCUCCAGGGAGAUGUUUUCUUUGUUUCCUUCAGCAUCUACUCCACCAAUCUUGAUCUUUUUCCUCAUGUCUGCAGUUUCACAUUCUCUGUCUGUUUCAACAUCCACAUGUUUCCUCUUAUCUUCAUACCACCCCUGUUCCACCACUUUUUCAAGUUCCAAGGUGACUUUGUAUAUCAUGAGGUCUUUGUCAGUUACUUCAGUAUGUGUAGGAAUUUUUUCAAAAUCUCUCACUCCUACCCUGGCUCUGAUUUUUUCCAGCAAAAUUGUUGUCAUAUCUAUCUCCAGGACUAGGCCAACAGUGGCAGCUACUAAACAAGCCCCAAAAAAUGUCUGAAACACUCAGGCAUUUUGCCAAUUUUCACCCACACAGUGUGCAACUUUCCUAUGGCUUGUGUAUCAUAGGUCCAACUAUCCACAUUUAUGAUAGCCUUUGUCCCCAGCAGGUUAAAGUUUCUAAACUUGUGUAAUUCAGUCAGUCUGCUCUUGUUGGGGAACCUCAUGAGAUAAGCCCUGUCUCCAUGUUUUUGCAUCUCCAUUGCCAGUCCCAUUUGAACAUGUAGUUAAACCCCUCCAAGAAUUGUGUCUCAUUGAUCUCCCCAGAGGCAAUAGUGACAAUUCCCAUCGGGUUAAUCUGCUCACUACUCACCACCUCCUUGGAAUUUUGAACCAAGAGCACUCCCAAACCUCUGGCUGCAUAUCCAACAUAUUUAGGCAGGGGCUUAAUCUGUUUCAUCCAGUUGCAAUCUUCAGUGAUGUGAGAAUUUUUUCCACACAUGAUACAGUUAGGAAGCUUGCAAUCUCUAGUUUGAUGUCUGAAAUCUUUGCACUUGUUACAGGGAAUUCUGAAGUUGUUCCCACUUUUUCCUAGAUCAGGGCCUUCUCUCUGUGGAAAUCUGCUUCCCCCCCCCAAGCGCUUUGGUUUUGCCUGGAUCCAGAACCAUUAUCCAUAUCUCCUCCGCAGCUAACCUCUCUGCUUUGUAUCCCUUUCUCUCUCUCACCCUCAAUCAUCAUCCCCUCCUCUCGCUGCUUGUCAGCUCCAGUUACCAUGCCAACCCCCUGCUGUGCCAUCUGGGCAAGGAGAGCCCCAAACCACUGUUGCUGUUGAAGAAAUUCAGGAGGGGGAAUGACACCAGGGGCAGGAUCUUUACCUUUGUCCUCAGAUCCGGCUCUGUUAGCCUCUGGCUUGCCCCCCCCUCUAUCUUUGUCUUCUGUAGUUCUACCAGCAUCUGGGAGCUGCGUCCUGCCUCCAUUCCCCUGGUAGCUAGAAGUCCAAUGGUGGAUCUUGAACUACCAAUCUGAGAGAAAGUGCCUUUGUAUCUGUCCACAUCUUCUUCUUUCUUUCUGUAAUGGAAGCCAUCUCUACCACCACGGUUGAAUCUUCCCCCUCCACGAUUGUUCCCAAAACAUCUGUUCAUCUCUUCUACUUUCUCUCUUUCUGGUGGCGGCGGAAGAGGUGGAAACCCUAAAUCCUCGAGGGGGUCACACUCUUCACCCCAUAGGGAGAGGCGCUUUAUUUAUAUUGCCAAAACUUUCAGAAAGCGUAUUUACCAAAGGCGUUUCUCCCCGUUGCCCAUUUUGCCCCCAUAUCUCACUUUCCCCAAAUUCUCCUUCUCUGGCAGAGUAAUCCCCCACACAACAACCCAAGCCAUUGGUGAUUUCCAUUUCCUCUAUAUAGUUUGCCUCAUUAGACCAGAAAUCUGGAAUUUGGGCAUAUUUAAUUCUACUCAUUUUAUUAACAACCUCCCUUCCCAGUAAAACCUGAUCAGGGGCGAGCAUCUCUCUCUGUUUUCCCAUGAGCAGGGCUGUUAACACACUUCUCAUCACUACUUUCUAUGAUUUUUGCAGCUAUCAGCCGCUUUUUUUUCUUCUUAUUAUUACUUCUAUUAUCACCUAUCGAUGUAGGUUCACUGCCAUAUUUGGAAAUAGGGGGGAUCGUACCUUGCAGAUCCAACGGGAGCCCAAGUCUCCUCGUCGGAAACCUCACCGGCGAGCAGCCAGAAGCGGCCGCCCACCGGCGAGGCCCCUACUCCCGUCCCUGGGAGCGAGCGAGACCGAGCAGGCGUGGGAAACGGCGAGGGAAGCGCGGUGACCUCCUCAGAACCAACGGCAUCUUCUGGAUCUUCUUCGUCCCAAGCUUCAUCCCCCUCCUGCCCUCGGCGCGCCCCAAAUCUGGCCGCCUCUCCACCACUGCAGCCCUGGGCACAACCGGAGCUGGGGCGGGGAGACCCAUCACCGCGCCGACCACAAAUCCAGGUGGAUCCGCAGGGACGGUGCGACGCGAACGAAACGCGAUCCACUUCAUGGCCUGCAUCUGAUCGUCUGAUUCCGCCUCCUUCAUCGCCCACAACAGCAUCCGGAGCGCCCCCACCGGCUCGCCUGACGGAGUGAGGCGCCAGUCCUCCGCCUCGGUGAGCCUCCGGUAGGCACACCCCGCCGCCUCCUUCAGAUUGCUCUCCGUCGAGAACCUGGAGAUGAUCUCCCUCAGCUUCGCCAGCUUCUCUUCGUCGCCGUUGGCUAUCACCAGAACCCUCCUCUCGAGUCUCUGCUUCCAGGAAUCCAUGACCCCGCCUUCGGAGAGCUCGCUCGUGAGAGAGAAGGGAGGUGGUUUUCGUCGAGAGGGGAGGGAAUGGCCGCUCCGCUCCGUGCCGCAACUUUAAUCCGCCUCCCUUCCCGACGUUCUCUCUCCUCCGCCUCGAUCUGCGCUUCACGCCGCGCCUCCGCCUCGGGACUCAAUCCCCUGCCGACCAAAACAACAUGACAUGGAAACCGCACCUGUGUCCCCUCCCCAUGUACCCGCAUCGAGUCGACCCGUACGCCGCGGUCGUCGAGGAGGGAACACCGGGGAGUCACCGCGUCGGAGUAGGAUGCCCCGCUCGUAGAUCUUUCCUUAACAUAUACUCCCUCCGUCCAGAAAAAGUUGUCUAGCGCUUAGUUCAUUUCUAAUUUUGCAAAAAAAAAACUUCCAUCUUCAAAUCUCUUGCUAAUGAGCCCCCCUGCUUCUUCCUCCUUUCUCUGUCGGCCGCGUGCACCGUGGCCGCCCAAGCCACCAUUGGCACCCGUCGUAGGCCGAGCGCGUGACGACGGCCACGGCCUGCGCUGCCGCUGUGAACCACCACCGCCCAUGCCCACCUGCGCCGCCCGAGGCGAGCUGCUCCACUGCUGUGAACCACCGCCGCCCGAGGCGAGCUGCGCCGUCCACCUGCUCCACUGCGGCGACCACCUCGACGGGCGGCGGCUCCACGGCUGAGGGGCGCUGCGCUACCGCCAUCUUCUCCCGCCGUGACCCCUUCCGCCGCCCAGGGCUACCCCGCUAUCCCCUCCCGCCGGCCAGGGCCUGCGCCCGCCUGGGUCUCGAGCGCCUGGACCUGGAGCUCCUGGCGGGCCUGGAACUGAAGUUCAUCCUCAACCUCGAGCUCCCUGUCGUCUCCCCCACUCCUCUCCUCGACCUGCUGCUCGUCUGCAAGUUGCUGUUCCUCCCCGGCGGGCCUGCUCGUGCUGCUGCCGGUGAGAAGAAGAACCCAAGCUCCAAUUUCUGUACAUUGCACUUGUUCAUUAAUUUCAAACACAAUUGAUCAUGUACUCUGCAGAAAUGUUGCAAAAAAGAUUUAGUUAACACAGAAGUUAACUGAAUGUGUCCCUCAAUGUCCAAUGUUCAUCAGUUAACUGAACGUUAACAGAACUAAACUGAAUCUUUGGAUAAUUUCUGAUCCUCACCUAGAGUAUAAGCAAUUUCUGAUCUACUGUUACUGUGGAUUAAGUUGGAUUAAGUUGGAUAUUGUUGGACUAACAUGAUUUUCUAGACAUAGCCCUAAAAUUUCUACACACUGAUUUGACAAGCAAUAUUCCAUUACAGAGAACAUUUACACUGAAAGUAGAACAUUUACACUGAAAAAUUGGACCCCCAAGAAACUGUAUUCAGUGAUCUUGUACUCUGAAAGUAGAACAUUUACACUGAAGCUUCAAACAAAAUUUCAGUGAUCUUGUACUCAGUUUAGUGGCAAUCAGACUUGAGAUGCAAAACUAAAGCUUCGAAACUGAAACAAUGACAAAAUUACUUGCCACAUCAUGAAACAAAUGACAAAAUUACUUGAAAAGGAUUACUCCAUUUAUCUACCUCUGUCAUGAAAGGAGUACUAGACAGCAGCAAUAGUACACCAAGUACUGCCGGCCGCCCUCUAACUAAUUCAUUCAUGGAUGAUUUUAAUCACUGACUCAUCCUGCUAGAUCCAUCACUAAAACUAAUUAGUAAUUUGAUUUAUCUAACAUUUGUUAGUUGAGAAUAAAUGUUCACUCUUAUCUCACAUUUGCUAGUUGAAAUGCAUAAAUUCAGUUGUUCAAGUUUCAAUCUAAGCUAGAAUUUCCAGUUUACACACAGAUGUUGUCAGGCCAAGUGUGAUGCCCUAGUGAGACUGAGGUUGCGGCCUAUUAGGUAAAAAUAGGAUGAGCUACUAAAGAAAUUUGCCAAUUAGCCCAUUGUGUCCCCAAGUGUGAUCACACAGAUGUUGUCAGGCCAAGUGUGAUCCCCUAGUGAGAUUUGUCUGCCAUGUUUUGCUAACUGAAGAAAUACCAGUUGGCCGGCAUGCAGUCUUAAGCAAAUGUCAGAAGCAGCAAAUUUCAGUAAAAAAAAAUCAGUUUUGACACAUAAAUCAUGGAGGGGAAUUGAAGGAGGGAGGCUUAACCUUCCAAGAAGACGCCACCGUCGUCGUCGAGCUCGCAGUACAGUAUGUGCAGGGAUGGUGGAGCUCGCAGUACAGAAGACGUCUCCGCCGCCGUCGAGCUCGCCAUCGAGCUUGCUGUCGUCGGGCUCGUCGGCUACGUCUCCUACCGUCUGGCCUCGCAGCCACCAUAUCAGCCUCGCCGACGCCGGAUCUGAAGCAGACGGAGCAGAGCGCGGAGGUCACUAGGGAGGGGGAAGCUAGGGGAGGAAGGCAAGCUGGAGCUGCGCGAGCAGGAGAGAGUGGCGGAGGAGGCAGUUACGGCGGCGGUGAGCUGUGGCGGUGGUGGAGCAAGGCAGUUGCGGCUUCUGUCGGGGGAGGUCAGAAAAAUCAAGGCUUCUCCUCGCCCGGGGAAGCGACGCGUCGGAGGAGGAGGGGA